AUUGAACGCUGGCGGAAUGCUUUACACAUGCAAGUCGAACGGCAGCACGGACUUCGGUCUGGUGGCGAGUGGCGAACGGGUGAGUAAUGUAUCGGAACGUGCCCAGUCGUGGGGGAUAACGUAGUGAAAAUUACGCUAAUACCGCAUACGAUCUAUGGAUGAAAGCGGGGGAUCGCAAGACCUCGCGCGAUUGGAGCGGCCGAUAUCAGAUUAGGUAGUUGGUGGGGUAAAGGCCCACCAAGCCAACGAUCUGUAGCUGGUCUGAGAGGACGAUCAGACACACUGGAACGGAGACACGGUCCAGACUCCUACUGGGAGCAGCAGUGGGGAAUGUUGGACAAUGGGGGAAAGCGUGAUCCAGCCAUUCCGCGUGCAGGAUGAAGGCCCUCGGGUUGUAAACUGCUUUGGUGCAGAACGAAAAGGUUUCUACUAAUACUAGGAGCUCAUGACGGUACUGUAAGAAUAAGCACCGGCUAACUACGUGCCAGCAGCCGCCGUAA
rnacentral:rRNA from 1 species